rnacentral:rRNA from 1 species
ACCGGGAAGAGCUCAAAUUUGAAAUCUGGCGUCCUCAGGGCGUCCGAGUUGUAAUCUAUAGAGGCGUUUUCCGUGCCGGACCGUGUCCAAGUUCCUUGGAACAGGAUAUCAAAGAGGGUGACAAUCCCGUACUUGACACGACGACCGGUGCUCUGUGAUACGUCUUCUACGAGUCGAGUUGUUUGGGAAUGCAGCUCAAAAUGGGUGGUGAGUUCCAUCUAAAGCUAAAUAUUGGCGAGAGACCGAUAGCGAACAAGUACCGUGAGGGAAAGAUGAAAAGCACUUUGGAAAGAGAGUUAAACAGUACGUGAAAUUGUUGAAAGGGAAACGAUUGAAGUCAGUCGUGACCGAGAGGCUCAGCCGGUUCUGCCGGUGUAUUCCCCUCGGUCGGGUCAACAUCAGUUUUGUCCGGUGGAUAAGGGCGGUAGGAAGGUGGCACCCUCGGGUGUGUUAUAGCCUGCCGUCGCAUACAUCGGGUGAGACUGAGGAACGCAGCUCGCCUUUAUGGCCGGGGUUCGCCCACGUCCGAGCUUAGGAUGUUGACAUAAUGGCUUUAAACGACCCGUCUUGAAACACGGACCA